UUAUAGGUGCCCAAAAUUUUUGGGAUAAUCGGGAAGUCUGGUACAGCUGAUACUUAUUGAUCUAUUCCAGCGCUGCCCCCGCAUCGGUAAAAAAGAGUAGCUUGCACAGCCACUGAAGUCGUUAGACUUCGGGAAGGCGCAAGUGACAGCCGUUUUAUGUUUAUAGACAGCGCUCUCUUUGAGCCCGAAUACCGGCCUGUAUCAA
rnacentral:ncRNA from 1 species